rnacentral:rRNA from 1 species
UAGGGAAUCUUCCGCAAUGGACGCAAGUCUGACGGAGCAACGCCGCGUGAGUGAAGAAGGAUUUCGGUUCGUAAAACUCUGUUGUUAGAGAAGAACAGCGCAUAGAGUAACUGUUAUGCGUGUGACGGUAUCUAACCAGAAAGCCACGGCUAACUACGUGCCAGCAGCCGCGGUAAUACGUAGGUGGCAAGCGUUGUCCGGAUUUAUUGGGCGUAAAGCGAGCGCAGGCGGUCAAUUAAGUCUGAUGUGAAAGCCCCCGGCUCAACCGGGGAGGGUCAUUGGAAACUGGUUGACUUGAGUGCAGAAGAGGAGAGUGAAAUUCCAUGUGUAGCGCUGAAUUGCGUAGUUAUAUGGAGGAACACCAGUGGCGAAGGUGACUCUCUAGUCUGUAACUGACGCUGAGGCUCGAAAGCGUGGGUAGCAAACAGG